CGGCCGGCCACAUCGGGACUGAGACACUGCCCGGACUCCUACGGGAGGCUGCAGUAACGAAUAUUCCACAAUGCACGAAAGUGUGAUGGAGCAAUGCCGCGUGCGGGAUGAAGCAUCUUUGGUGUGUAAACCGCUGUCAGGGGAUAGAAAUACUGAUCAUCCCCAAAGGAAGUGGCGACUAACUCUGUGCCAGCAGUCGCGGUAAUACAGAGGCCACAAGCGUUAAUCGGAAUCACUGGGCUUAAAGGGUGCGUAGGCGGGUUCGUAAGUGCUUUAUGAAAGCCCUCGGCUCAACCGAGGAACUGCAGGGCAUACUGCGAAUCUCGAGGAAUCUAGAGGCCGGCAGAACGAUAGGUGGAGCGGUGGAAUGCGUAGAGAUCUAUCGGAAUGCCAAAGGUGAAGACAGCCGGCUGGGGAUUUCCUGACGCUGAGGCACGAAAGCGUGGGGAGCAAACAGGAUUAGAUACCCUGGUAGUCCACGCCCUAAACGAUGCGCAUUAGACCGGUGCAGGUCUGACCCUGUAUUGGUCGAAGAGAAAUUGAUAAAUGCGCCGCCUGGGGAGUACGGUCGCAAGGCUAAAACUCAAAGGAAUUGACGGGGGCUCACACAAGCGGUGGAGCAUGUUGCUUAAUUCGAAGCAACGCGAAGAACCUUACCUGGGU
rnacentral:rRNA from 1 species